CCUUGACAUACUAAGAACUUUCCAGAGAUGGAUUGGUGCCUUCGGGAACUUAGAUACAGGUGCUGCAUGGCUGUCGUCAGCUCGUGUCGUGAGAUGUUGGGUUAAGCCCCGNAACGAGCGCAACCCUUUUCCUUAUUUGCCAGCGGGUCAUGCCGGGAACUUUAAGGAUACUGCCAGUGACAAACUGGAGGAAGGCGGGGACGACGUCAAGUCAUCAUGGCCCUUACGGCCAGGGCUACACACGUGCUACAAUGGUCGGUACAAAGGGUUGCUACCUCGCGAGAGGAUGCUAAUCUCAAAAAGCCGAUCGUAGUCCGGAUCGCAGUCUGCAACUCGACUGCGUGAAGUCGGAAUCGCUAGUAAUCGCGGAUCAGAAUGCCGCGGUGAAUACGUUCCCGGGCCUUGUACACACCGCCCGUCACACCAUGGGAGUUUGUUGCACCAGAAGUAGGUAGUCUAACCGCAAGGAGGACGCUUACCACGGUGUGGCCGAUGACUGGGGUGAAGUCGUAACAAGGUAAGCGUAGAUGA
rnacentral:rRNA from 1 species